CUGCUACUUUAGUUUGGACUGUUCCCUAAAAAUAGCACAUGAGAGGUAUUCUGGAAUGGAUAUGAGAUAAGAAGCCAGUUCCAGUCCAGCUACAAACCCUUUCUAAUCUCCUGACUUGCAGGAUGGCUUUAUGAAAUCUGUGGUACUGCUUUUAGCCCCAUGCCUCACGGACAGGACAGCUGUCUACAUUACACAAGUAACAGGGCUGAUAUUUCUCUAAAUCCAGGAACAAGGGGGAAGAAAGCUAAAUCAUACUGUAGACCAACAUGGUGGAAUGCCAUGCUUACUAUUUUCACAUAAAAUUACUGGACAGCCUGACACCUGGUACCACUCAGUUUGACUCCUGCUUCUCCCGUGAUGAACUCAAGAUGGACGUUCUUGCCUGAACCGCAUUCCCCAAGCAGCAAUGGGGAAUGACCUGCCAUCCUCAGUCACCUGAACAACCGACCAGAAAUGUCAGGGAAAGCAGCAAGAUCCUCUGUGAGGUGUCCGCACCAGUGGGCGAGAAGGAAAGAACAUCUUACUGAUGGAACUUGUGAGGUUUUUCAUUUCUGGGAGGGGGGACUUUUUUUUAUUUUUAUUUUUUUAUUUUAUUUCUUGUAACUAGUUUAUAAAUGUAUUGUCAAUUCAAAGCUGUUUUAACUAAGUAGACACGGGUAAUUAUGUAUUGUGAGUUAAACGCAAAUAAAAAGAACUAUAACUUUUCUUUUACUGUUGCAUUUAUUUGACUGUUUUGCCAAUGAUAGCCUGGCAUGUGACAGCCUGCCUCCAGGUGUGCCACACUGCAUGUUACUAAGGCUUGUUUUAAUUCACGAGAGUUUGAAUUCCUUCUUUUACUAAAGGACAUUCAUUAUCGAACCGUUUAAUGCAGAAAUUUAUCUCCAACAUAAUUAAACAGUUCUAAAUGUUAAACUGUUAUCUUUAUCUAUAGCUGUUUGCCAAGUCUGUUCAUUUCUGUCAUAUAUUAGCAGAUGGGAGCUGUUGGCCUUCUAUAAAAAGAAAGACAUCUAGAAAUUCAAGCCUGCAUUUUGUUUCUCCCACCAACUACCCAGUCUCGUUAGAAAUUGCAUCAUAAGAUGUUUCUGAAGACCAAGUUCUUUUUCUUCCAUAUUACUUCUAUGACAAACAUAAGCUGGAAAAAAAAUCUAUUUUAAACAAAAUAUUGUGCUUAGUUUUUUUACAUUUUGUCUGCUUUUCACUUAAUGUUUAGCCUUCUGCCUGACGAUUUGGUUCAAGCUUAGUUAACACUGACAGAUCUAAGAUCUGUAUUUGGUACUUCAAAAAGAUUACUUUUAGAUUUAUGGGUGUGUAGAAAGGUGAUUUUAAAGAAGGGGAACAUAUGAUAAUGAGUCAAUUAAAUUUGAUUGGUAAAUGUGAUUCAUAUUAAUCGCCGUUUGUGAGGCUGAUCAUAGAUUGUCUAACUUGAA